AAGACCUUGCGCUUUUGGAGCGGCCGAUGUCUGAUUAGCUAGUUGGUAGGGUAAUGGCCUACCAAAGCUUCGAUCAGUAGCUGGUCUGAGAGGACGACCAGCCACACUGGGACUGAGACACGGCCCAGACUCCUACGGGAGGCAGCAGUGGGGAAUUUUGGACAAUGGGCGCAAGCCUGAUCCAGCCAUGCCGCGUGAGUGAAGAAGGCCUUCGGGUUGUAAAGCCCUUUCAGCCGGGAAGAAAAGGCUACGACGAAUAAUCGUAGCUCAUGACGGUACCGGAAGAAGAAGCACCGGCUAACUACGUGCCAGCAGCCGCGGUAAUACGUAGGGUGCGAGCGUUAAUCGGAAUUACUGGGCGUAAAGGGUGCGCAGGCGGUUUUGUAAGUCAGAUGUGAAAUCCCCGGGCUUAACCUGGGAACU
rnacentral:rRNA from 1 species